CCUACGGGAGGCUGCAGUGGGGAAUAUUGCACAAUGGGGGAAACCCUGAUGCAGCAACGCCGCGUGAAGGAAGACGGUUUUCGGAUUGUUAACCUCUUUUCUUAGUGAAGAAUAAUGACGGUAGCUAAGGAGCAAGCCACGGCUAACUACGUGACAGCAGCCGCGCUAAUACGUAGGUGGCAAGCGUUUUCCGGAAUUACUGGGUGUAAAGGGAGCGCAGGCGGGAAGCCAAGUCAGCUGUGAAAACUACGGGCUUAACUUGUAGACUGCAGUUGAAACUGGUUUGCUUGAGUGAAGUAGAGGUAGGCGGAAGGCGGGGUGUAGCGGUGAAAUGCGUAGAUAUUCGGAGGAACACCGAUGGCGAAGGCAGCCUACUGGGCUUUAACUGACGCUGAGGCUCGAAAGCGUGGGGAGCAAACAGGAUUAGAUACCCCUGUAGUC
rnacentral:rRNA from 1 species